GUGACGUGAUGAACCCGUUUAUCCAUUCGCUGAGCGGCGGUCCGACCCGGCCCUGCGCCCCGCUCCCGUUCCGGGGGCGGGGCCUCUCCGCUGCCGUCAAUGCGCGCGUUUCGGCGUUCUGCUGAGACGCGGGCUUAGACGGCGCGGUGACGGGGGCCGGGCGGGUCGCCUCAGAGAUUCGCUUUUCGAUCUGAUCGC